rnacentral:rRNA from 1 species
AGUGAACGCUGGCGGUAGGCCUAACACAUGCAAGUCGAACGGCAGCACAGUAAGAGCUUGCUCUUACGGGUGGCGAGUGGCGGACGGGUGAGGAAUACAUCGGCAUCUACUUUUUCGUGGGGGAUAACGUAGGGAAACUUACGCUAAUACCGCAUACGACCUACGGGUGAAAGCAGGGGAUCUUCGGACCUUGCGCGAUUGAAUGAGCCGAUGUCGGAUUAGCUAGUUGGCGGGGUAAGGGCCCACCAAGGCGACGAUCCGUAGCUGGUCUGAGAGGAGGAUGAGCCACACUGGAAGUGGGACGCGGUCCAGACACCUACGGGAGGCAGCAGUGGGGAAUAUUGGACAAUGGGCGCAAGCCUGAUCCAGCCGUACCGCGUGGGUGAAGAAGGCCUUCGGGUUGUAAAGCCCUUUUGUUGGGAAAGAAAAGCAGCAGGUUAAUACCCCGCUGUUCUGACGGUACCCAAAGAAUAAGCACCGGCUAACUUCGUG